rnacentral:lncRNA from 1 species
AAUAAAUAAAAAAUAUAAAAUAAUAAGAAGAUAAAAACAAGUCUUUUAUUGCAUAUCAAAAAGAAAAUAUAAAAUAUUUAAAAAAGAAGAACACCAUCUAGACAAGUUACAGUGAUUUCUUGAGAUGUGAAGAACUAGCCGGCCAUGGAUCUUCUUCUUGUUGACAACCUUGAGCUGAGAGGGCACCUGGGCAUCAUCUGGAAGAAGGAUGAAAAAGGAGGAUGAAAGAGAGAAAAGGGAAAGUGAUUGCUUGGGAGAAG